rnacentral:rRNA from 1 species
UACGAAGGGGGCUAGCGUUGCUCGGAAUCACUGGGCGUAAAGGGCGCGUAGGCGGCCGAUUAAGUCGGGGGGUGAAAGCCUGUGGCUCAACCACAGAAUUGCCUCGAUACUGGUUGGCUUGAGACCGGAAGAGGACAGCGGAACUGCGAGUGUAGAGGUGAAAUUCGUAGAUAUUCGCAAGAACACCAGUGGCGAAGGCGGCUGUCUGGUCCGGUUCUGACGCUGAGGCGCGAAAGCGUGGGGAGCAACAGG